rnacentral:rRNA from 1 species
AGCAGCCGCGGUAAUUCCAGCUCCAAUAGCGUAUAUUAAAGUUGUUGCAGUUAAAAAGCUCGUAGUUGAACUUCGGAAUUUGCCCAUUGGUCAGGCUUAACUGUCUGUACUAGUGUGACGAGUUCCUACCUUCUGAGGAAUCUCCAUGUCAUUCAGUUGGUGUGGGGGGGAAUCAGGACUGUUACUUUGAAAAAUUAGAGUGUUUAAAGCAGGCAUCUGUCUGAAUACAUUAGCAUGGAAUAAUAAAAUAGGACGGUUUGGUUCUAUUUUGUUGGUUUCUAGGAUCACCGUAAUGAUUAAUAGGGAUAGUUGGGGGCAUUAGUAUUCAAUUGUCAGAGGUGAAAUUCUUGGAUUUAUUGAAGACUAACUACUGCGAAAGCAUUUGCCAAGGAUGUUUCCAUUAAUCAAGAACGAAAGUUAGGGGAUCGAAGACGAUCAGAUACCGUCGUA